UACAGAGGGUGCGAGCGUUGUCCGGAAUCACUGGGCGUAAAGGGCGCGUAGGCGGUCUGCUAAGCGUGUGGUGAAAGCUCGGGGCUCAACCCCGAGUCGGCCGUGCGAACUGGUGGACUGGAGCAUGUCAGAGGCAGGCGGAAUUCCGGGUGUAGCGGUGGAAUGCGUAGAGAUCCGGAAGAACACCGGUGGCGAAGGCGGCCUGCUGGGCAGUUGCUGACGCUGAGGCGCGACAGCGUGGGGGAGCAAACAGG
rnacentral:rRNA from 1 species